ensembl:processed_transcript A130023I24Rik RIKEN cDNA A130023I24 gene
UUGGAGGAGACACAGAAGUCCUGGGAGCUAGAAACCAAUACAGACACGGGUAUUUGCUUCCGUAAAUGUGUGCUUGUUAUUGUGGCAUAACAAGUUACCGCCUACCCCUUCUUCCUGAAAAAGAAAAAAAAAAUGGUGCAAAACAAAACUCACUAUCUCAGGGCCUUUAUGUGUGUCAGGAAUUUGGAGAUAGCUUAGCUGAGGCUAGACUUUGGGUUUUUCCUAAGGUUGGGGUUAAAUACCAUCUGUAGCUACUGUCACUUGAGAGCUUGACAGAGACUGGAACAGCCACUUUUGGGAUGCCUCCUUCAUACCACCCACCCUCCGAUCCUAGCUCCUGACCUCAGUCCUUUUCCAGGAUGAUGCUUGAGCAUCCUCACAAAGAUGGGACAGGACUCCCUCAGGCUGAGUGACUUGAAUUAAGAAGGACCCAGGACUCACACACUUCAGCAGAGCAGCUGUCACAGCCAAAGGGCUCUUCCGCUCACCAUGAAAUAAGGAACUGAGUAUCACUGAACCCUCUGAUCCUUCUUGUGAGUCUACCUCUUUGUGUAGAAAUCCUAUUUGUUUUCUACUUACUCCCCCAGCCAGCCCCUGCCAUGAGAGUUUCAAGGUUUUCUCAGCAAAUGACAUUCCCUCCAGCUGAAGACUCUACCUAGGGCAGUCCAAUAGGAAGGUCACACACACAUACAGAUAGGGUACCCUUUCCUUCUGUCUACUUUGACUCAGCAUCCAUGAGUGCCCCUCCACCCUCAUUUUCCUUAAGUAUUGAAUCUGUAUGGUAGUUGACUCUGGAAGAUUGGAGGAGACUGGGGUGAUGGUGGUGGUGAGAGUGGGGGGGGGGCAGGAUUCUAUGGAGGUGAAGCCCUGGGUUCUAGGAAGGAGAAACUCUUAAGACAAGAAACAGGAAAAUGGAUGGCAUUUACUACCGGCUGCGAGGGAGCAGGAAUUUCAGUCUAAGAGAUGGAAUUAACAAGAUUUCCAAGAAUCUCCAUCGUGGGGCCAUUGUGUUUGUUUACUUUUGCAGCAAGCCCUGGGAACUGUGCAGGGAGAGAGAAAAGCUGUUUUGUGAGCUGUCUCAAGUUCCAUCAAUAGGUCAAGCUGCCCACACUGGAGAGGCUGCCUGUAAAAUCUCACCCGAGGAAAAUUUGCCUCCGUGUUUCCUCUGCUCGUACUCAAUGGGAAUAGAGCUAAACGCAAGCUUGGGUAAGACAUAAGUGCCCCCUGUUCAUUGUGAAUGCCCAGGCUGUUAGUCAAAAAUAGCACACAGGAAACAGUGCUGCAAAGGUCAAUUCUUCCAGAAAGGAAGGGACAAGCAGCCAUCUAUCUGAAAUUUUAAUGAGCAGAUCCUGGCCUCUGACCUCACACCAUUACCUAACAAUCCAGUAUUGAAUGCCAGCCAUGCCGGCUUCCAUUUCCUGUGAACGAGGAGGCAGAACUCCCAUCCAAAGGCAGACCAUCUGCCGGACGCCAGCUUUGCUUUCUGCCUAGCUGGCUGCGGCUGAUGUACGUGAAGUUUUUAUGGAUGGAGUGGCAGCCAGGCCUGAGCUUCACAGCCACAGUGAAUCGGAAAGCUGGGAAGACGACAGGGCUCAUGGCUAGAAUUGUCUUUCUUCUGCAAUAGCUGUUGGGUUUCAUUCAGUCAGACACCAAAGAUAGUCUUGGGGCACAUUUGGCCUUUUUGAAGACAGCUUUGCAAUUUCUACGCUUAAAGAAAAUAAGUUUAUUAUUAUUUUUUACAGUAAAGAGCAACAGCUGAGUAAUAAACAUG